UUCUCAGCUCUUCACUUCUCUCUCACUUUUCUCUACUCAUCGUUCUUCAUUUUCUUCCCCAUUCCCAUGCUGAUUUCACCUCUUGAAAAAGAGUCAAUCAACCACAAUUUGGAGCAGCAUUCAAGUGUUCAUAGAAGCUUUGAUUCGAUAAGAACAAGUGGAGAAGGAGGAGUGGAGCAAAUUAGUUAAGCCAUGAGAAAACACCAAUUUGAUUCUUGUUUCCUAUCCUUUUAAUUUUGUUGUUAUGAUGAACAUGUCUAUGAAUAUUUGUGAUGUUGAUAUGUUUAAUUUAAUUAAUAUGGCUUG
rnacentral:lncRNA from 1 species